rnacentral:rRNA from 1 species
GGUGAUGGAUGGGCAUGCGUCUGAUUAGCUAGUUGGCGGGGUAAUGGCUCACCAAGGCGACGAUCAGUAGGGGAGCUGAGAGGUUUUUCCCCCACACGGGCACUGAGAUACGGGCCCGACUCCUACGGGAGGCAGCAGUAGGGAAUAUUGGGCAAUGGAUGGAAGUCUGACCCAGCCAUCCCGCGUGCCGGAUGACGGCCCUCAGGGUUGUAAACGGCUUUUAACGGUGAAGAAUAGUUGGGGUGCGCCCCGAUGUGACGGUAGCCGUUGAAUAAGCACCGGCUAACUCCGUGCCAGCAGCCGCGGUAAUACGGAGGGUGCGAGCGUUGUCCGGAUUUAUUGGGUUUAAAGGGUGCGUAGGCUGGAAGGAUAGUCAGCGGUGAAAAGCACUUGCUCAACGAGUGUCUUGCCGCAGAUACUCCCUUUCUUGGAUAAGGAGGAGGUUACCGGAACGGAUGGUGUAGCGGUGAAAUGCAUAGAUAUCAUCCAGAACGCCAAUUGCGAAGGCAGGUGACUGUACCUUAAUCGACGCUGAUGCACGAAAGCAUGGGUAGCGAACAGGAUUAGAUACCCUGGUAGUCCAUGCCGUAAACGAUGGGGACUAGCUGUUGGGAGCGUUGCUUUCAGUGGCACAGGGAAACCGUUAAGUCCCGCCCAUGGGG